rnacentral:rRNA from 1 species
CAGCGCCACGAGUGGCAAUCGCGUUUAUUGGGCCUAAAGCGUCCGUAGCAGGUUUUGUAAAUCUCUUGUGAAAUUGUCUCGCUUAACGAGACAGUGUGCAGGAGACACUGCAAGACUUGAGACCGGGAAGGGUAAGAGGUAUUCCUGAGGGAGCGGUAAAAUGCUAUAAUCUCAGGAGGACCACCUGUGGCGAAGGCGUCUUACUAGAACGGAUCUGACUGUGAGGGACGAAAGCUAGGGGAGCAAACCGGAUUAGAUACCCGCGUAGUCC